UAGGGAAUCUUCGGCAAUGGGGGGAACCCUGACCGAGCAACGCCGCGUGAGUGAAGAAGGUUUUCGGAUCGUAAAGCUCUGUCGUUAAGGAAGAACGAGUGUGAGAAUGGAAAGUUCAUGCUGUGACGGUACUUAACCAGAAAGGGACGGCUAACUACGUGCCAGCAGCCGCGGUAAUACGUAGGUCCCGAGCGUUGUCCGGAAUUAUUGGGCGUAAAGCGCGCGCAGGUGGUUUAGAGAGUCAGAUGUGAAAGCCCACGGCUCAACCGUGGAGGGUCAUUGGAAACGAAUAAACUUGAGUGCAGGAGAGAAAAGUGGAAUUCCUGGUGUAGCGGUGAAAUGCGUAGAGAUUAGGAGGAACACCGGUGGCGAAAGCGGCUUUUUGGCCUGCAACUGACACUGAGGCGCGAAAGCGUGGGUAGCAAACAGG
rnacentral:rRNA from 1 species